rnacentral:rRNA from 1 species
UACGUAGGGUGCAGGCGUUAAUCGGAAUUACUGGGCGUAAAGCGUGCGCAGGCGGUAAGUUAAGUCUGAUGUGAAAGCCCCGGGCUCAACCUGGGAAUGGCAUUGGAAACUGGCUUGCUAGAGUGUGGCAGAGGGGGGGGUGGAAUUCCGCGUGUAGCAGUGAAAUGCGUAGAGAUGCGGAGGAACACCGAUGGCGAAGGCAGCCCCCUGGGCCGACACUGACGCUCAGGCACGAAAGCGUGGGGAGCAACAGG